CACCAACAUCCACCUCAUGGCUGUCUCCGACGUCCUCCACCGCCUCUCCCUCCGUGCUAUGAACAUCAUUCAUCAUAUGGCCAUCCACCUCUGGGUCUCCGCCAUCACCUUCCUCCCCAUCGGUGUUGGCACGACGAUGCAAGCCUCCGAAGCCGACCCUAUGCGGAGUGGUCAAGGUACUAUUUUUAUUCUUCAUCUCUUAUCUAAUCUUUUUUGUUC
rnacentral:lncRNA from 1 species